GAUGAACGCUGGCGGCGUGCCUAAUACAUGCAAGUCGAGCGAACAGACGAGGAGCUUGCUCCUCUGACGUUAGCGGCGGACGGGUGAGUAACACGUGGAUAACCUACCUAUAAGACUGGGAUAACUUCGGGAAACCGGAGCUAAUUCCGGCUAAUAUAUUGAAUCGCAUGGUUCAAUAGUGAAAGACGGUUUUGCUGUCACUUAUCGAUGGAUCCGCGCCGCAUUAGCUAGUUGGUAAGGUAACGGCUUACCAAGGCAACGAUGCGUAGCCGACCUGAGAGGGUGAUCGGCCACACUGGAACUGAGACACGGUCCAGACUCCUACGGGAGGCAGCAGUAGGGAAUCUUCCGCAAUGGGCGAAAGCCUGACGGAGCAACGCCGCGUGAGUGAUGAAGGUCUUCGGAUCGUAAAACUCUGUUAUUAGGGAAGAACAAAUGUGUAAGUAACUAUGCACGUCUUGACGGUACCUAAUCAGAAAGCCACGGCUAACUACGUG
rnacentral:rRNA from 1 species